rnacentral:rRNA from 1 species
GAUGAACGCUGGCGGCGUGCCUAAUACAUGCAAGUCGAGCGAAGAGGGGACGGGUGAGUAAAACGUGGAUAACCUCCUAUAAGACUGGGAUUAAUUAGGGAAACCGGAGCUAAACCGGAUACUGUGCGCUGGAUCCGCGCUGCAUUAGCUAGUUGGUAAGGUAACGGCUUACCAAGGCAACGAUGCAUAGCCGACCUGAGAGGGUGAUCGGCCACACUGGAACUGAGACACGGUCCAGACUCCUACGGGAGGCAGCAGUAGGGAAUCUUCCGCAAUGGGCGAAAGCCUGACGUAGCAACGCCGCGUGAGUGAUGAAGGUCUUCGGAUCGUAAAACUCUGUUAUUAGGGAAGCGGUACCUAAUCAGAAAGCCACGGCUAACUCCGUGCCAGCAGCCGCGGUAAUAC